rnacentral:tRNA from 1 species
GGGCCGCUAGCUCAGUUGGCAGAGCACCGGCCUUUUAAGCCGAGGGUCACAGGUUCGAGCCCUGUGCGGCCCA